CUGCAGUCCUCAGGAGAACAGCAUCCGGCUCCCGCGGGCCAUCGGUUUCUCCGGGCGAGAAGGCUCGGCCCCCGGUCCGGGGCGGCGGGGUGUCGCUCAGCGGGGUCUUCUAAAGAGGAUAACACCCUAGCGCGCUUGUGGGCGGCAUCCAGAGGAAGCCAUUUCCCCCGACUCCUGCUGUACUAGGCGUUCAGGUCCCACCACCUCGCGGGGCCUAGUCACUCGCAGCGCCGCUUCCCCACCGCCUGCCGCGCGCGCCUAGCCCAGCCCACCCCAGACCUCCCCGCGCGGCCACCUACCCGCCGGACCUUGCGGUGCGCUCAGCAGCCCGCACCACCUCGGGCCGCGUAGGCCGCGCUCCGGCCCCGCCCCGGCCCGUGCGACGCGUGUGGAGGCGGAGCUUCCAGGGGGACGCCGGAGCCGGUCCCUGAUCUUCUGACGAGGCUUCCCCAUGGCAGACUGGGCUCCGACGCGCUCUGCCGGCCAGAAGGCCCGGGUUCCCCCCGCCUCCCGAAAAGCUGCAGGUACUAAAGACACAAGUGCCUUGAAACAAGAAGAUGCUUUUAAAAGGAAAACAGAACUUGAAGCAGCUGUGAAAAAGAAGAUUGAGUUUGAGAGAAAAGCUCUACAUAUUGUUGAACAACUUUUAGAAGAGAAUAUUACAGAAGAAUUCCUAAUGGAAUGUGGGAAGUUCAUCACACCUGCUCACUAUAGUGAUGUCGUGGAUGAGCGUUCUAUUAUCAAACUCUGUGGUUAUCCUUUAUGUCAGAAGAAGUUGGGAAUUGUACCAAAACAGAAAUAUAAAAUUUCUACCAAAACCAAUAAAGUCUAUGAUAUUACUGAAAGAAAGUCUUUUUGCAGCAAUUUUUGUUAUAAAGCAUCUAAGUUUUUUGAAGCACAAAUUCCCAAAACUCCAAUAUGGGUUCGAGAAGAAGAGAGGCAUCCUGUUUUUCAGCUGCUGAAGGAAGGACAAAGUGGCCAUUCAGGAGAGGAAGUACAGUUAUGCAGUAAAGCCAUUAAAACAUCAGAUAUUGAUAAUCCUGGUCAUUUUGAAGAGCAAUAUGAAUGUAGUUCUUCUAGCACUUGUAGUGAUUGUACCAGUGAUAAUGAGCAAGACUUUAUUUCCUCCAUUCUACCAGGAAACAAACCAAAUGCAAUGGGUACAAGGCCACAGUUGAACCAAAAAAGCAUAAUGAAAAAGAAAGUUGGUCAAAAAGCUAACUCCAAACACAGAGACAAAGAACAGACAGUAGUAGAUGUCACUGAGCAGUUAGGCAAUUGUAGAUUAGAUUGUCAGGAGAAAGCUGUUGCUUGUGAACUUCCUUUACAGAAAGUAAAUACUCAGAUUUCUUCAUAUAGUCCUUUGCAUGAAAGAUUAAAAACUUCAGGAAAUUUUGAGAAUAAAUACAUGUCAGAAAUAACUUUUGUCGGCAUAAGUAAAAAAAGUGCUGAUCAUUUCAAGACCAAAUUUGCCAAAUCAAACCAAAUUUCUAAGCCAGCCUGUAAUUCCAUGCAGUUGUGUCCUGAAGUUGCAAAGAUGAACUUACUUAAAAUUCUAAGAGAGACUUUGAUUGAAUGGAAGACAGAAGAAACUUUGAAGUUUUUAUAUGGCCAGAACUAUGCUUCUGUGUGUCUGAAAUCCUGUCCAGCCUCUCUGGUUAAUGAAGAACUUGAUGAAGAUGACAUAAACUCUCCCCCAGAUAGUCAUUCCCCUGUCUUGGUGGAAUCUCAGAAUAGCCUGGAUGAAUCUUUACCUUUCAGAGGCUCAGAUGCAGCCAUUAAACCACUGCCAAGUUAUGAGAACUUGAAAAAAGAAACUGAAACAUUAAAUCUAAGGAUCAGGGAGUUUUAUAGAGGACGAUAUGUUUUGAAUGAAGAAACCACCAAAUCACAAGACUUGGAAGAGAUUCAGCAUGAAUCCACCUUUCCACUGAUAGAUUCAAGUUCCCAGAACCAGAUUAGAAAACGAAUCGUUCUUGAAAAAUUGAGCAAAGUAUUGCCUGGACUUUUGGGUCCCCUUCAGAUUACAUUAGGAGAUAUUUACACUCAACUUAAAAAUCUCAUCCGAACUUUCAGAUUAACAAAUAGAAAUAUAAUACACAAACCUGUGGAGUGGACUUUAAUUGCUGUGGUUUUGCUGUCAUUAUUGACCCCAAUUCUUGGCAUUCAGAAGCAUUCUCCAAAAAAUGUGGUGUUUACACAGUUCAUAGCCACCCUGCUUGAAGAAUUACAUUUAAAGAAUGAAGACCUUGAAAAUUUAACAGUCAUAUUUAGAACCAGCUGUUAAUCAGAGUGGCCUCACAUAUGGUAGGCAAGUGUUCUACCACUGAGCUACACCUCUAACCCCAUUUUGGAAAUUUUAAAAAUGAAGUGAAGACCUCAGGAUGCCCUCAACUUGCUAAAGGACAUGGAAACUCCAUUAUCAACUACUAGAGCCCAGGCCAUCCCACAUGUCCCAUCUGAUAAAUUCCUUCCCCGGAAAUAGCAAUUUACUCCAACCAGCUACUGCAGGGAUCGAUUGUGAACAUCCUCAUCCUGCUACCCUUUGAAUGAAAUCACCCCCUACCCAGCUAGUACUUUGGUCAUCUCAUGUGCAGAUAAGUAAUCAAAUUUACAUGUCUGGUUUUGCUGAAUCUUAAUCCUGCUCCCAAAUAGAUAGCUCUUUCCUUUCCUAAGUCCCCACCUCUUUCAGAAUUGCCCAUCAGAAUAUCCCCUAACUCCAUAUCUCUUCCUCCCUUCUUUCUUCUCAUGCUUCCAAGUGCUCAGAUAUAGAUUUAAUGUUACAGUUGAAAGAAUUCAUACUAAAUUAUAAUUUUUAUAAAAGCAAUAAAAAAUGCAUUAUGAAAUAAAAAUUAAGCAAUAUAGAGUUGCAUAAUAAUAAAAAAAAUUCCCCUCUCACCUCUGCAUCCAAUCCUGCCUCUUUCCCUGAAGCACACUUAAUAAUAUUUUUAUAUAUUUGGGGAGACGGGUAGUGAGGAUUGAACUCAGGGGCACUUGACCACUGAACCACAUCCCUGUUUUCUAUUUUAUUUAGAUACAGAGU